AUCAAAUUGUUCAACUGGUCAAAAAUUUGAACAAACUGUUCAGCCAAAAUGUGAAAGUGCAAAGUGAUAAAAUAAAUCAUACUUACAAUCCUACAAGUCUGUAACUCCACUGUAUUGAUGUAAUUCCUAAAUCAGUCUAUCAAUCUGUAUAGUUAUAUUACAGCCAUUACCAUACUGAAGGUGAACUGUUUUAUUUUGAAUUGCUAUAAAAAUGUC
rnacentral:lncRNA from 1 species